UGCCCUAUAGCUCAAUAGGAUAGAUGUAACUGGCUUUUAACCAGUGGGUUCUGGGUUCGAGUCCCAGUGGGGCAA
rnacentral:tRNA from 1 species